GUCCCCGCUCGUCCGCAUCGAGGCCCAGCACUCCCUUCCCCUUCAUGGCCCACGGCACCAAGAUCUUCGCGAUGUAACCGUGCUCGAUACCGAGACGCUGGGCGCGUCAAUGUUCUCCUACCUCCAGCCGUAGCUACCGCCCCCCAUUACCCACCGUGCGUUGGGAUCCCUGCGGCGUGUGCAGCAGCGGGUAGCUCUCCCGGUGCAGCGGCCGCGUGCGCUCGAGCAGGCGGAGCACCCACGGUCUGUUGAUCUCGCGUAGCACUAGCACGUUCUGGAGCUCACUGCGAGAUUCCCGGCCGGCGGUGAGGAACCGCGGCGCGCGGUCGUGGACGCCUUGCGAUGCUCCCACCGCCAGUAAUCCGGCCGCUUGUGGCGGCGCCGGCGGCCGCCGGCGAACGCGGACGGGAACGGAUGCCAUGGGGAGAGCAGAGCAAAUGAGGGACUAAUCUUCUCUACACACGAAUCCCGGGUCCAAACCGGGCGCUUCCAUUGGGCCACGUCGCUCGUUUUUUUUCUGGCCGUCGGAUCUCAAGUAGUGUCUGCUUUAGCGGUUGAUCUGGGGCCUCGCUUCCCGACCUUCGCGAGAGCCGCGCGGCGGCCAACGCCUCGUCCCCCACCUCGCGCCCGCAUCCUCCUGCAUUGCUCAUCCACCCGUGUUGCCAUCGCCUGUUGCAGCUGAUGCCUCGCACUCCACCACGCGCACCUUGCUACUCCUCCUGACGGUCGCGGCAGCUCCAUCCAUCCUCGAAAAGAGCCAUCACGCUGCACGCGGACUCUUCCUGCGCCACCUCCCCGCUGCUCCCUCCCUUAUCACUGCCGAUGCCCCUUCUCCUCCACCGCGUGCUGCAAGUGCUCCGUCAGGAGCCGCUCCUGUGCCCUAUUCGCUCGCUCGCUCGGCGCUUGAGAUCGUCGCCGGCGCGAGCAACCCCGGGCAGCAGGUGGAGAGGGUCCACGAGUGCCCAGUCCGUACGAAGGCAUAGCACUUCGCGUGCGCACGAGCUGUUCGGCGGAAUGCCGCGCUGACCGGCCGCAUACCACCCCGAGAUGCACUCCAGAUGGCAGCAAUGUUCAAGACGCUGGAGGAUGACAGUGCCCCAAGAUCCCGACGGGAACAAGAUGGCCACAGGCGAAAAGGAGACAGUCAGAUGGAAGCCGACGCCGACGAGUGGAGUGCACAGGCAAGCUGAAGAAAGGCUUCUAGCAUUGAUCCAUCUAGAUGAGAUCACUAGGUAAAAUGUCAACCAUAAGUAUGGUACAUUUUUUGUCCAAUAAAUUAUCUCUGCACUUGCCAUUGUUAAUAUAAUAAGUAAGAAGCACUGAAUUACAUAGAACAAUUGCUCCAGCAAGAAUCAUAUAAUCUUCUUUAGUUUAAAAUAAAGUAGAAGUACCUUUUUGUUGCCACUGUGAAUUUUAUGCCUCAGCAAAAACAGAUGACAUAUUCAUAUAUCUGCAUUUUUAUUUGACUCUCACAGUGCUCACUGCCAACUGCCAAGCACGAUGUUUAUCCAGGAUUUAGACCUUAGGCCAUUGCUCGUAUUUACACCAAUCUAAAUUAUUGAAUAGAUUAUUAUAAAACUGUUGAGGAGUGGAAGCUAUUUUGGAGUUCUAUAUAUUUAUCUCUGAAACUCAGCAUCUUAUCAUGCUAUGUACCUCUUACAUAGAGCACCUCUAUUUUGUCAAACAAAUUAUUAUGGUAUAUAUCAAUCUCAGUAGUUUGAUUUACAUAACUGCUCACAUUUGAAAAUUAGUUAUAAAUACAAUUUCCCACAAUGCAAAUUAUAUCACUUUAUCAAGGACCAAACCACCUCGAAAUAGUUGAGCAGUGAAAUGCUCCUUUGCUAGGAUUACUAGCAGGGGUAAAAAAAAAAUCCAUAGUGCAGAUCUUAGCAAAUAGAUAUAGUGACAUAGAUUAUGAACGUUGAAUAACAUUUUGUACCUAUUAUACUAUAUUUGCCUGUAUUUACAUAUUUUUCAUAAGCGAAUGAGCAGAUACACUUAAGCAGUAUGCUAAAGACAUACAAGAAACUGAAGUGAAAAAGAUUCAUUCUGAGGAUAAACACAAGCAAACUGAUAUGUGCAUUGUGCAAGACUAAAUAGAAAAUGGAAUUAAAGCUAUCAUCUUACUUGUGCUUUUAUGGAAAGGCCUUCUACAAAAAUGUAAAUAUCAUGAAUUAUAACUGUUCCGUUUGCACGGAAUUGAAGCUUGUUUUCUACUGUGAUUGCUACAGCCACCACAUCAACCGCGUCGAUCUAUUUGCCCUGAUGUUGCCUUACUUCUGUGUGCCUUUCUACUAAUCAUCCUCUCCACCUUAGUGACAUCUGGAUGGACAGUGUGAGUGGGAUUAGGAUGUCAUAUAGAUGAGAUAAAAUGCAGGGGAGAGAGUUGAUGACGUUUUAACAUUUUCUGAGUUGCAUGGAAUUGAGCAAUCCAGGCAUCUGUUGGUAUUAUAAUUUCAGUUAAUCCCGUCCCCUCUUGAAUUAUGAUCGAGCAAAAGUAAAACUAAGCUCCCUCAGUGCUAUUUCAAUAGUGACACUGUCAUUUCCUUGCAGGAGGCAAUCUGUGCAGUACCCUGACAAUGUUCCUUUAAGCUUUUACCCUCUUGUAUAUGCUGCUUCUUUCGUCAUGAUCAUUUAGCUCUAAUUUAUGAAAAUUUACCAUUGCAAAUUUUAUGUCUCAUCCUAUGAUGUCCGUGAUGACAGAAUACAACAAGCCCACUUACCAUCCUGCUUGUGUAAUGUGCACUUUUCAGAUAUUGCCAGCAGGAUACUGUCAAAUAUACCAUGAAGAAGCCACUUACAUGAAUACAGAAGCUACUGAGAAUAAUUUGAAAUAUAUUAACCAAGAGCUUCACACUAAAGUUUUUUGAGAUUCAGUUCUGCCAGCAAGUCUUCACAGUUAAUUAUAUUUUUUUUGUUUGUAUAUUGUUAUACGAUAAAUAAAGUGAUGCAUGGAAAUUUGUUAUAUUUGAUCCCAAAAGGUAUUUUGUGUCACCUGAUUAUAGUCAAUUAAAGCUUAUGGUUACAUCAGAAUUUUGCACUAAUCUUAUUUUAUUGUAGUGAUUCAACACCUUUCAUUCUUUGUGCAAAUAGUAAAUAAAAUACACAAACUGAUCAUAUAUCAAACAGGAAGUCUAUUAAAAGACGCAAUCCAGGACAAGGAAUAGAACACGAAUAAUUAUAUACCAAAAAUAUGAUAAGGAAUAGAACACGAAUAAUUAUAUACCAAAAAUAUGAGGUACAUCAUGCCAAAGAAACGUUAGUGGUCCAUUUUGCAAACUAUGGGGUGGUUCGGCAACACCGAGCCUGCUUUCUAGUUUGCAAAUAUUUUGAGGUUUUCUGCAAAAGAUUGGGUCGCGAUCCAAUCUGGGGGGUUCUACGAAAAAAAUCGGAUCGCGAUUAAUAAUCGCGAUCCGAUUUCAGGUUUAUUGUAAAAAGUUGGAUCACGAUUAAUGAGCGUGAUCCAUUUUAGGGUGUUUUAUGCAAAAUACUAAGGGGUCAUCUGUAAGACUGGGAGGCGGAGCGACACCGGCGGGCUAGUCAGCGGUCAGCCUUUAGCAGUAGACCCGGGUACGCAUCCGCCGCCGGCGGCCUCCUGGGCCCUGGCGCUGGUCUGCUUCAGCCUCGACGUGCUCCGCGGCGGCCCCGAUGACCAGCCGUGGUCUUGGACAAGAGUCGACGACCCUGCGCCGUUCGCGUCCAGUCUUCGUGCUCGUGCAGGCCUGGAGGCCCCGCCGCCGGCGAGGCGCGUCGUCGUCCCUACCACCAAGGUCCCCAAUACCAGGGCGUCCGGGAGAGCACCUUCGCCUUCGACACCGAGGCGCUACGGUGGGCGUACCGUACAUCGGCGAGUGGCUGCUGCGGUUCCGGGGGCGAGCCUGCUACGACCGCGAGCUGGGCGCGCUGGUCGGGAUCUGCCACUACGGGGAAGGGCCCGGCGCCUCUGCUGCUGCGACGUGCAGCCGGUCGCUGGCGAUGCCCGCCUGGAGGCUCGGCGCGCGGGGACGUGUUCUUCGACGCGGACUCCGACGGCCACGCCGGCGCCAUGCUCGUGUAAUACAUGGGCGACAGCAGGUUCUGCCUGCUCGACCGCCGAGCGGGCGAGGACGACGACUCGGGCGACCCGCGCCGCCGCCUCCGCGUGGUGGAGAUGACCUCCUUCGUGCUCAAGUACGACAAGGCUUCAAUUCUUGCCAUGAAAUAACUAGCAGACACCUUGCUCGGAUUUGAAAGAGCAAACCAAACAAUAUUGCAAAUUUUAUUUGUCUUAGGGUGUGUUCGUUUCACCCCUCUAAAACCCGAAACAUCUAAACUUUAGAGGUCCGGCACCGAACAGCCCUCUAAUUCAGCCUCUAAUAAGACUGCGAUUCCUCUAAAGAUUUUAGAGGGGGGGAGCACUCUAAAGAUUUUAGAGGGGUCUAAUGCCAAACGAACACACCCUUAACGUUGAUACGGUAAAAACAGGUUGAUGAUAAAAAAAAGAGCUGCGAAUGAACUCUCAUUUAUAUGAA